AAGCAGAAAAAGAACCACACCAGAGCAACCAAAUGUGAUUAAGACCAUAAAAACCAAAACAAACUAAUACAACAAACAAGCUAUAUAGAAUGAAAAUUGGUCACUAAUGGAAACAUGAAAAGAUGGGAACUUAGAGCAGAGCUUUGAAUAAUAUUUGAUGAUUUGCAGCCACAUCUAUCAGUUCUGCAAAUUACAUUGACAAAUCUGCAAGUUCCAUAAACAUCACGUGCUAUUCUGAACUGUGAAAUUGCGAGUGGCGAGUAAACUGUGAAAAAAAAAAAAGAACCAGCCAUAUCUAAUUAUUUUAGAGCUGCAAUUUUCCAUCAUUUUCAACUAAUCUAAUUAUUUUCUUAAUUAACUUACUGAUAGUUUUAUCUAUAAAAUGUUAUAAUUUCCCACAGCACAGAAAGACAUCUUUGAAUAUCUUGUUUUGUCUGAAGCAAUAGUCCCAAAGACAUUCAGGUUUCUAUCAUGCAAGACAAACAAAACAUCGAAUUCUCAAAUGUGAGACAGCAAAUAUUUGAUAUUUUUGCUUUAAAAAAUGACAAAAAUGAAUAACUGAUUAUCAGAAUAGUUGCAGAUUGAUUUUUUGUUGAUCGAAUAAUCAAUGAAUUGCCUAAUAAAUGCAGCUCAAACUUAUUUUAUUAACAAGAUUCAUGAAAUUAUAGGAUGCAUAAUUUAACACUAAAUUGUCAGUCUUGCUAUUAUGACUCAUGCUACUUGCACAUUUUAUACAACACAGUUUAUAAUCGCACAGAGUGAAUGGUCUUCCGGGCGCAUAUGGACAAUAUUGUUUUUACAGUUCUUGUUACGUAAUAGGGAAGUUAACAACUCGUAAAUGACGUCUAUUAUAAGGAUUAUGCAAUGCAAGAGGAAUUGAAAGGAGCAGAAAACAGGAAGGAUAAUAUCUUUCCUUGAAGUUACUGAGAACUACAGUGUCCCUGAGAGCUUGACGCACUGCAACGUAAGGAAACACAUGCAAAUAGACAAACACAUUUAGAAAACAGCUUCAUUAAUUUGACAACACAUGCGCUGCAAAUUCUCACAACACAACGGAAGUGUUUCGAGGGGACACGAAAAGGUGAUGGACCCGACUGGGGACGCACUUAUUGUUCAAUGCUUUUAACUACAAUCAGUCACAAUUGGUCAUUGAACAACAAGUGUGUGCCCGGCCUGCUUGUAUCCGCAGGAAACACUUCCAUUGAGUUGAACUUGGCACAAGCGUAAUGACCGCCGAGACAAGCCUCAUGGAGGGGAGAGACUCUGUCCAUGUCCGUGAGGGCCGGUGGCAUCCACAGCGGCAUCCAUUACCCGAUCUGGCACCAACCACUGUAGGAGCAGCAGGAAGAGGAAGUCCAAAACAGCUACAAAUGCAAAGAUGGAGCCGGCGACAGGGCCGCAGUGAGCCC